GAGGGUACAGCUCACCUGGUAGAGAGUGUGCUUGGCAUGCAUAAGGUCCUGGGUUCAAUCCCCAGUACCUCCA
rnacentral:tRNA from 1 species